UACAGAGGGUGCGAGCGUUAAUCGGAGUUACUGGGCGUAAAGGGCGCGUAGGCGGCGAUGUAAGUUAGAUGUGAAAUCCCUGGGCUUAACCUAGGAACUGCAUCUAGAACUGCAUUGCUAGAGUAUUGUAGAGGGUAGUGGAAUUUCCGGUGUAGCGGUGAAAUGCGUAGAGAUCGGAAGGAACACCAGUGGCGAAGGCGGCUACCUGGACAAAUACUGACGCUGAGGCGCGAAAGCGUGGGGAGCAAACAGG
rnacentral:rRNA from 1 species